UGAGGGUUGAUAGGUUAAGAGCUAAUAUAUUGGACGUUCCCACAGAAGAAGCACCGGCUAACUCGUGCCAGCAGCCGCGGUAAUACGGAGGGUGCGAGCGUUAAUCGGAAUUCUGGGCGUAAAGGGUGCGUAGGUGGUUUGAUAAGUUGUCUGUGAAAGCCCUGGGCUUAACCUGGGAUAGUCAGAUAAGACUGUUAGACUAGAGUAUAGGAGAGGGUAGUGGAAUUUCGGUGUAGCGGUGAAAUGCGUAGAGAUCGGAAGGAACACCAGUGGCGAAGGCGGCUCCUGGCCUGAUACUGACACAGAGGCACGAAAGCGUGGGGAGCAAACAGGAUUAGAUCCCUGGUAGUCCACGCGGUAAACGAUGUCAACUAGCUGUUGGUUUCAUGAAUGAAAUUAGUGGCGAAGCAAACGCGAUAAGUUGAC
rnacentral:rRNA from 1 species